CCUUCUUUACUAAUCAUUGAUUUUAUGUUGAUAGUCCUAAAUGUAAAGCUUUAUUACAACUGUCACAUAAACUUAACAUUAAACAAGAAAACCAAACAUUGAUCAAUGAUCCAUGAAAAUGAUGUCAAGGUCAGAUCAACAUGAUAAACCAUGCCAGGCAGACAUGUACAGCUAACAAUUCUUCCAUACAACAAAUAUAGUUGACCUAUAGCUUAUAGUUUAAGAAAAAC
rnacentral:lncRNA from 1 species